ensembl:ncRNA T28B11.22 ncRNA
UCUGCAGAAGUGGCACUGUCCUUGGUGAGAGGAGGUGCCGUUCGAAAGGAAGAUGGGUGCCUCUUUAGUGACCUUCCUCAUUCCUUCCUAUCAGCCGGCGGGAAAACUCCUCCCAUCGCUCAGCCGGUCGAGUGUCUUUCAAAGGGCGUUUUAUGUGUGUAUGUGUGUGUGUGCACUACCCACCACACUCUAGGAAUGCAGUAGUGCUCGCGGGGCUCUCGCGCGCGCGGGAGGGUUGACUGACGGACUGCUGCUCACUGGCGACCCUUGUCCCCACCCACUUUUCCAUGCCUCGCAUACACACCCUUACAAUCGCCCUUUUCCCUCCCUUCAAGCCCUUCCUUCUUGC